AGUUUAAAACUAUUUCCCCUUGUCCUGUCGCUACCUGCCCUUAUAAAAAGUCCCUCCCCAGCUUUCCUGUAGCCCCCCCACACACACAUUUCAUGAGGAAAUUCCACCAAGAGCUGUCAGCCAGAGCUCAGGAGGGAAUGUGUUGGUUUAAGUAAUCCCGGGUAGCAGCAUGAACUACUUCUGGUGUUCUGCGAUUAAGUUUCUAUGGUUCCGUAAGUGCUCAUAGUUUUGUAUAAAGAUGAGGUGAAAGGCAUCUCUCAGCCCCUGAGAGUUCACUUGGUAUGUCAGAAUGCUGUAGCCUCGAUGUAGCAGACAUUUCCUGUAAACGUUGUUUAGCCAAAUGACCAUGGAACAUAUUGGGUUGUUUACAAUACCAGUCUUACCACGUGGUACUAAACAAUGAAGAACCAAAAGAGAAGAUCUGCGGAGAGGAUAGGAAGAGGCAGUGGGACAAUGUUAUCAGAUGCACCUCACAGAGUACAGUUGUUAUUCCUCUCUCUGCUCGGUAAGAUAGUUCUGCGAACACAUUCACAAUCAUCAGAAGAUAGGAACAAUUCUUAAAGCUCCUUUUAGCAUAAUAGAUGAAGAAGAAAACAGGUUUUGGUAUUAGCUCUAGAAGGAUGAUCCCUUUUCCAGAGUAAAGUCUUAUUUUAGCUUCACCUCUCUGGCUUUGCUUAGGCUAAAAUGGCUGAGACUUCAUUCUAAAGAGAAAAAUGUUUCUGCAGAAGCUAAUGCCAAUCAAACUGAAUCAAAAAUUCUGCUACUGAAUUUUGCCAUUUGUAGCUAGGUCUCACCAUUCCUCCAAUGCAGCCUUUUGCCAUCCCUUCAGGUAUUUCAAAUAUUCCAGCACAAUAAGUUUCACAUGCAUCGACUGUUUACUAAUCUAAUGUAAUCUCUAAUUAGUCAGUUCUGCUACAUCGGUAACUCAGUGCCCCGUGUGAUUCCUGCUAAUAUUGGUAGGAAUUCUUUAACAAUGAUACUGCUCAUCAUUAGGUCAUGUAACAUUUGUUUUUCUCUUAGUUAUUAGGAAAAAAAAAUGUAAAUACUUUUUUAUACUCAUUCAGUUGCUAAAAUCUCCCUUUAGCUCUCUUAGGGCAUUUUGGGUUUAGAUUUUGGAUUUCUUCCUGUGUUUCAGUCCUACAGAGCAAAGAAGCCUCUCCACUUUUAAGGCAGCAAUUUCUAUCAAAAACAAACAAACAAGCAUUUGGGCUAGCUUUCUUUCAUCUACGUACUUAAUUCUUCUCUCUUCUUAGUUCUGUGAUGGGGAAAUGCAUUAGCAUCACCUGGGAACUUAAACUCCAGUUCAGCUCAGCCCAUGUUGCUUUUCAGUUAUAAUGUUAAGUCUGUUAGCAAAAUUGAGCAGAGCUUGUAAAGGGGGAUAUGGAAAAGCUCACUAGACUUUUCAGCUGUACAUAGCAGCUCUCUGGUACAGAUCUUAGAAAUGGUAAUUUCCUGACUAAAGGAACUUGCAUGACAAGGACAAAACAACUGACUUGAGCAGCAAGACGUUGCUCCAAUAAAUGAGCCACCUUUUUAAAUCAAGUUCUAUUCAUGAAAUAAUUUAUGGGAAAACAAUACAAACUGACACUGCAGUGUUUUAGCUUUAAUAACUGAAGUGCAAGUGGGGUAUUGUUGUCACUGAUGAUUGAAAAGUUUGGGUGUUAGAGGCUCUUUUUCAGAACUGAAAUAAAGGCAAUGAGCUUCAAAGAUAAAUUAUGAGUUGAAAAAUUGUUGUUUUGAGCUUAAUUAAGUGUGUAUCAGACUGUGAGACUUGAGGUAGAUGGAAGGGGAAUCUACUUGUCAGUUUAUAAAACAGUACUCAAGAAUUGACAAGGUUACUUUUUUACUGACAUAACUUUUUAAAAAUCAUUUUAAAUGCUUUUGAAUAAAUGUACAGUUGAUAAAUCAUUUAGUUUCCUGUUAAAUUGCAACAGCACCAUGGAAAUAACAGCUUUUAACAAGAUUCUCAGGUUUCUGUGCUGUCUCCUUGCUGAAAGGGGAAACCUGACUUUUCUUGAUAUCUGAUGUUACAGGUUCUCAAACUGAUCCUUGCCACGCAGAGAGUUCAGUUCCCAGGGUCCCUCCCACUUGCCCUAGUCAUCAAGAAAUUGUUGCCUUAUGUCCUAUGGGGAAGCCUUCACUUUUCAGAGCAGCAGGAUGGGAAUUUUUCUCGGGUUGCAGACCUGAGAAGAAGCGGCCCUGGAGCCCUGCCCCAGCCAGCCACUGAGCAUGAAGAUACUUCACUGAGGCUUAACUUUGCUAGUUGCAUCUGGAUGUCCCAUCUGAGUUACUCUGACACAGUGAAGAAAUACUGACUUUGAGAUCCUGCAGUUCAUAAUGUUACAGAGGACUCCUGAAGCUGAAUGCAGCACUAUUCCUGUAACACUCCAGUGGGGCGAAUGCUAUGAAUCGUAUGAUUGAUGGUUCUGGGGGCUGCACUCCCUGCUGCUUUAAACAGGAAGCUCUUCUAGGAUCAUUUCAGCUCAGCAAACGAGGCCACUUCCUUAGCAAUACAAUAACAGGAAUUUGAUCAGAAACUUCAAAAUUCAGUUCUAGAAGGCACGAAGGCCAGAUUUACAUUACCAAUAUAAUAUAUGAUUCUUCAGGAAAUACUUCUAAGAGCUUUUCUUAUCCGUAUGUGAUUCACCAAGAGAACAGGCGAUUUAGACACACAUUGUUCAGGCGCAUGUGGCUCAAGAGGAGGGCAAGAAGAAUGCAGUGAACUACAGUCCUGCCAGCUUCAUCUUGGUCCCUGGAAAGGUGACAGAGCAAAUCUUCCAGGCUACAGGGGCCAGUGCUGUUUGACUUUGUCAUUAAGGACCCAGGUAAUGAGACAGAGCACACCCUCAGCAAGCCUGAAAAUGGUACAAAGUUGGGAGGAGUGGCUGAUAGACCAGGUGAGUGUGCUGCCAUUCAGAGGAACCUUGGCAGGCUGGGGAAAUGGACAGACGGAAAACUCAUGAAGGGAAAUGCUGAGUCCUCCACCUGGGCAGGAACAGCCAGGUACACAGUACACACUGAAGGCUGGAAAACAGCUUUGCAGAAAAGGACCUGGGAACAAAAAGUUGGCCAUGAGCCAGCAAUGUGCACUUACAGCAAGGAAGACCAACAACAUCCUGGGCAUUGCCAGCAGGUCAAGGGCAGGAAAUCAUCUCAUCUAGUGAGUGCUGUGUCCAGUUUUGGGCUCCCCAGCACUAGAGAGGCAUGUGCAUAAUGGAGCAAGUUCUGUGAGAGAAAGGUGACACAAGAUUGGAGCAUGUGUCAUACAAGGAGAGGCAGAGACAGCUGGAAUUGUUUAGCUGGGAGAGAUUGUAUCUGUAUGUGUAAAUACCAAAAGGAAGGUAGUAAAAGAACCAGCAGAACCAGCAUCUUUUCAGUGCUGUCCAGUCAGAGGACAAGAGGCAAAGGGACAAAUUGAAGGACAGGAAAUUCCACUUACAUAUAAGGAAUACCCUUUUUACAGUGAGGGUAGCCAAACACUGAAGCAUGUUUCCCAGAGGGGUUGAGGAGUCUUCUGCCUUGGGGGUCCUCAGAAUCCAUCUGGACAAGGCACUGAGCAACCUUCUGUGUUUGUCACAGGUUUGAGCAGGGUGCAGGCUGAGCUAGACAGUCUGAUGGUGUCCCUUCUAGCUUCAGCUAUUGCUAUUCCGUGGUUCUAUCAAAUUAGGGCAGCCAGAAAGGUUUCAGAUAAAUGUUGUCCUUCAGGAGUGGAGCCCAUCAGCCCAGGCAGCCAGGCACAGCCUCAAGUUACAUUGUUGCCCAGGAGUUUCUUGUCACGAAUACAGGAUUUGUGCAUACCAGAAGUGAAAUAAACGAAAACAGGCAAAGGCUUGAAGAGCAGACUUCAACAGUUCCCUUUGGCACUCUACUCUAAAACACAAGUAGAUGACCUCCAAAUUCGAAUUUCCAAGUGAAAAGCGACCUUUGACUGAAAAAGUCAUGUAAAAUCCUUCUAAAUUGCUGUUGAAGUCUGUUCAUUCUGGGACCCUGCUGGGAAACAGUAUGAUUCAACCAUGCACAGAGUUGUAUUGUUAAUAUAUUUGAAGAAAAUGAUUAAACUGCUUACUCCAAGUAAUAGCUAAUUGUGGUUUUUAUGUAUAUGCGCAACAAUAUCAUUAGAUAAAGGGGAAAUACAUGGAGAUGCCACUCUUUUACGGAAUCUUUUUUCAGAAGUUAACUUAUACUUUCAGGCCUUUGGAAUUGUAUGGCCUGGUGCCACAUCUUGGAUAGUGCUAUGGAUAGUGCUCAAGUAAGCUACUCCUUUUCUUGCCAUGAAAAAAGAGCAGGUUUUUUCUAGCUGUGGUUACACCUACUCUGGAUUAAAUUCUCUCUCUCUUUUUUUUUCUUGCCCUUCAUUUCCCCUCUCAUCCCCUUGUGGGUCAUGGCACAGCAUGUACCUAGAGGCAUACUGCACUUAAGCUUUAGGUUUUCUCUUGGAUGAGAGAUCCUGGAGCCUUUCUCCCCCUGUAUGUUCUUCAGCAGUUCAGACUUUUCUCUUGGGUCUGAAAGGUAAUGUGUGCAGGCCUUAACAGAGAUUCAGCAGUUUCCCUACUUCAUCUUGUUAGGCUCCAGUUGUCUCUUUUUGGCCAAUGUGAACUAGUCUGUCCAGAACAAUUGCAA